rnacentral:lncRNA from 1 species
GUUAACCUAGAGCCACUUGGGCUGGUGGGGAGGCAGGACCCUGAGGGAGCCACCUUGGGCUGGAUCUCCUCUCCCAGAGCUUCGUGGAAGACCUUGGGCAGACCAAGGCCCGUCUGGAUUCAGCUUUUGUGCCUGUGAGGGGCCAGCUGGGCUGGGACUCCCUGUGUGAGGCACUGACUUGCCCUGGUGCUGUCAGAGCUGGGGACAAAUGCAGCCCUUUUACCAAUGCUAACCAACCUUCAGGAAGAGCAGGCCAAGGCAGCCUCGAGGGAGCCAGGAGGCUCUUUCCUGCUUCUCCAGAGUCAGGGGGCAUCUCUUACCUGCCUGAGGGCUGCUUUCUCCUCUACUCUCCACCCACCCCAGGUACACCUGGGGGUUGCACAGCGUCCCUGAUGCUCCAGCGUCUUCUCAGAACUCUUGUUCCUAUGCCACACUCUCCACAGAAGGGUCUGGAAAUCUACAUUGUAACAAGCCUGUUUGAGGCUAACAGACCAGGAAGGUGCAUUAUAGUAAUCCUCGCUGAGCGGAUUCCGGGCCAUGUGCUUCUCUUUUUCGGGACCAGUGACUAUAACACUAUAACGGUGACGGUGACUCCCAGACUGCCACUCCCUGUGGUCAGGAGCGACUUGGAUGGUCUCUAAACUUCAGGAUCUGCCCAGUUUGGAGCACAGUUAAGUAGGCUCUGGGUUCCACUCGGGGCUCCUACGGUGGGUGGAGACAUGUAAGAUAGAGGUGGGUGGCGGGGGCCAGGGGAUUUCUCCCAACAAUCCGUUCUCAUCUGACCCUAUGCCUGGACAUUUGGCUCCUGGAAUGGUGGGGCUGGGUGAUCCCAGGUUGUGUAGCGCCCCCAUCUGCUCUCACUCAGGCCCAGCUUCCUCCGCCCACCCCCUCCGGCCACAUCCCAAAUCCCCAAUCCCAGCAGCAGAUCUCGGUGUUUGCCUGUUACCAUGGCAAUGGGAUGCACCUUUCUGUUACCAUGGCAACCAGCCAGGGGUUUUUAAAAUUCAGUUGAGGUAAUUUCCACCCCUCAAUCCUCAUCCUCAGACACCUCAUUCUUCUUUUUUUCUUCUCUGAAUCUUAGAAGGUCGGGUUGAGGCGGGGGUGGGGGGUGCUACAGCCACCAGCCAGAGGUGGAGGGUCAGAGGGGCUGGUGGGAAGACUCAGGCCUCUUUCCUCCCCAACUACUCCACCCAGACUAGACCCUAGAGAAUAGGACAGCCUCUUCCCCCAUUCCCUCUCCAGGCCCAGAUCUGCAGUGAGAAGAAGGCUUUGCCUGGCUGGGCAGGCAAAGGGCAGCAGACCUGGGAGGCCUGGGUGAGGGUGCAGCCUGUGUGGCCACUUGUCUAUGUAGGAGCAGUUAAGGGUCAGCAGAGACCCUCCCGGACCUAUGUCACUAAGGAUCUCAAGGCUCCAGGGCCCAGACCCCAGGACAAUAGGGGACAGAUGUUGUUUAUGCCCUAUGCUGGUGCUAAGGAGCUUAGCAGAGGGCAUCAAAGAAAGAUAGAGAGAAGGGGAUGCAGAUACUGUCCACUACCUGUCCCUCCCCCUCCCUACUAAGGAACUCUCUCCCUAAACACCUGCUUCAUUAGUCUGGUCAUUGUAAAUUCAUGAGGCCCAACAUCCCCUCCAUGCCCCCCUCCU